rnacentral:rRNA from 1 species
UACAGAGGGUGCGAGCGUUGUCCGGAAUCACUGGGCGUAAAGGGCGCGUAGGCGGCUUGAUAAGGUUGCGGUGAAAGCCCGGGGCUCAACCCCGGGUCGGCCGUGGCAACUGUCGAGCUGGAGCACUGUAGAGGCAGGUGGAAUUCCGGGUGUAGCGGUGGAAUGCGCAGAUAUCAGGAGGAACACCGAUGGCGAAGGCAGAUCUCUGGGCCGUAACUGACGCUGAGGAGCGAAAGCAUGGGGAGCGAACAGG